GUUCGAGUUAUCGCGGGUGCCCUGGUUUUUUCGAACUGGGGCCGAACUAAGACCAAAGAAGUCUCGAAAUAGACCCGAAAUGAUGCCGAAAUAGUCCCGAACUAUUCACUUACGUACAUAUAUCAACGAUCAAUGUUGCUAAAACAAAUGAAAACAAAUUUAAUCAGCUCCUGAUACCGUCUUGGUUUACGCGUGACGGUUUACGCAAUUUUUGACCAUGCCGCGAGCAAAGGUGUUUACACAUCAAAAACUUUAAAGAAUGUUUUUAAUCAACGUAGGCAAAAUAUCAUACUACGUAGUUGGCUUAUUAUAAUAUUCAAUAACUAACCUAGAACUUACCAAUAAAUAAAUAGGUUAUAUAGGCCGCAGAAUUUCUUUUUUUGUUUUUCUCGUUCUUUUCUCUACUUUAACCGCAAUUGCAAUCACUCAACUGCUAACUUGCAGCGUCAGCAAUCGAUGCACAACAAAGCCUAGUAUGUAUAAUCAGGUAAAAUUUUAAUUUAUGAGUCUUUCUUCAAACACAUUUGCGCCAAUUAUUCAACAACACGUUUUAUUUAUAGAUUGUGUUGACUUGUAUUUAAAUGCCGCGUUUUUUGUUUAGUCAAACUCAAUUACUAACGAAUUUUUUAAAUCACAUUUUACACUUUACGAGCAACAGCGCACAUCCGGCAACAAAAUGCAACUGAAACUUUUCAAAACUUAUUUAAUGCAACAGCUUAGUAGAUCGCUGAAGACGGUUUACAAUGUGACUUGCAGACUACUUGGUGGUAGUAUUGCGCGUUAAGAAAACCCUAGAAAGAUACAAAGCAGCAAAAUAAAAAACAUGAAAAACGGAACUGUUGUAAGUCGUGGCAAAAUACAAUAGCAAAACGCAUUGUUAUAAAAUUUGUACUGGAGGAAGCUUAAAACACAACUUGUGAGGCAAUCACCUGCUUCAUUAAUGAGAUGCCGACCACCUUUCUAAACUAAGUUGGUGGUAUUGCUGUGUGUUCUCUUGCGGAACGGAAUUUUAACGCUCAUACAUAUGAAAUUGGAUUUUACUAUGUGCUAAUAUAAACAAAAAUGAUUUUUU